rnacentral:lncRNA from 1 species
CGGAUUAUGCUUUGGAGAGCAUCCACAAUCUGAGGGAAGCGAUUCCGGAGUUGUGGGAACUAGCCGACAUUAAAACAGCAUCGUCGGAAGUUGGGUAUCCUGGAAAAGUUGCAGUUGAGCAAUCUGUCACAGCUUAAAUAGAACAAUUAAAACAUUAUGAAAAACCAAACCAAUGUAAUGUUCAUCAUCAUCGCCACCAUGGCUUCAAACUGAACCAAAAAGCAAAACAGAACAAGAUCGGGAAGAAGAAGAAGAAGGAAUCAAUCAUUUGAAUCUUCCCAAUUAAACACCCAAAAGAUGGGAUUGAUGGUAGAAGUUAAUCAGUUAUAUCCUCCGACAUGCAUGUAUCAUCUGUAGAUGUUUUCCAUUUUUCUAUAUCUCUGUUGUGUAGUCAUGUAAUUUGAAAAUCUGAGAAAAUAAUUAAAAAAAAUAAUUGAAACGGGAGAGUUCUGCCUGCUUAGAUCACUGGAGUCAUUAUCAUCAAC